UACAGAGGUCCCAAGCGUUGUUCGGAAUUACUGGGCGUAAAGCGUGUGUAGGUGGCUGCGUAAGUCGGAUGUGAAAGCCCUGGGCUCAACUCAGGAAGUGCACUCGAUACUGCGUAGCUCGAGUACCGGAGAGGUUGGUGGAAUUCUCGGUGUAGAGGUGAAAUUCGUAGAUAUUCGCAAGAACACCAGUGGCGAAGGCGGCUCACUGGCCCGAUACUGACGCUGAGGCACGAAAGCGUGGGGAGCAAACAGG
rnacentral:rRNA from 1 species